rnacentral:rRNA from 1 species
AUUGAACGCUGGCGGCAGGCCUAACACAUGCAAGUCGAGCGGAUGAAGGGAGCUUGCUCCUGGAUUCAGCGGCGGACGGGUGAGGAAUGCCUAGGAAUCUGCCUGGUAGUGGGGGAUAACGUCCGGAAACGGGCGCUAAUACCGCAUACGUCCUGAGGGAGAAAGUGGGGGAUCUUCGGACCUCACGCUAUCAGAUGAGCCUAGGUCGGAUUAGCUAGUUGGUGGGGUAAAGGCCUACCAAGGCGACGAUCCGUAACUGGUCUGAGGGGAUGAACAGUCACUGUAGCACUGAGACGCGCUCCACACUCCCACGAGACACCGCAGUGGAAUAUAUUACACAGGGCGCAAAACCCUGCCACCCACAUGCCGCGUGUGAAGAAGGUCUUCGGAUUGUAAAGCACUUUAAGUUGGGAGGAAGGGCAGUAAGUUAAUACCUUGCUGUUUUGACGUUACCAACAGAAUAAGCACCGGCUAACUUCGUG